rnacentral:misc_RNA from 1 species
UCUCCGUUGGUGAACCAGCGGAGGGAUCAUUACAGGACUCGCAAGACUCCUUCACCCUGUGAACCUCACUACAAGCACGUUGCUUCGGCGGGUGUCCCGGCGAGGGUUUCCCUCGCCGGGGCGCACAGCCCGCCGGCAGCCUACUAUACUCUGUCUCUUUGCGUUGGCAUCUCGAGAAAAAACAAACAAGUUAAAACUUUCAACAACGGAUCUCUUGGUUCUG